CUGUGUGUUUCCCCCAAUAAAAACCAACCGCGAGUGGGGUUUUGAUUUAACUGAUAAGAUGGAGGAAGGUCAUCAUCCCCCAGCCGUUGCGAACCGGAGAACGGAUCCAUCUUUUUUUCUUUCCGGUUCUGUUUGCUAAUUUGUUUUGAUUCGUUUGUUGGAAUUAAUCGGUUUCUGUUCGUCGUUGUUGUUGAUGAUUUUUCUUUAAUUUGGAACGAUCGAUGCGACGGUCAGGUCAGGCGGUGGCCGUCGUGGCGGUACUGUUUGAUCUGUCUUUCACAGAAGCUUUUGAUUACGUGUUGUCGGCACUUUUACCGACGUCCUGCAUGGAAGAGAGAGAAUCCAAUUUUUUCUUCUUUUUGGUUUUUUUCUUAAUCUUCACUGCGUAUUUAUUUCGCUUUGAACCUCAAAAACCCUAAUUAUGUAUGUUCCUCUAUGAAAUGGCGCUGGUUGUUUGAAUUCUUAGCGGUUCUAUCAUGUUUGUUUUGCUCUGGAUCUGACUGGCCUUCGCCAUGCCAUUUUUAAUCCUCUCGCUUCUCUGCGCAUUCUUUGUGUAUAUGUUUUUUUAUGUUCUUCUGGCCAAUUCAUCGUCGCUUGGUUUUGGAAUUUGACAGAAGAGAGUGAGCACACAGAGGUAGUUGGUAUAAAUGUAUGCUAAUGCUUUUGCGUGCUCACAUCUCUCUCUGUCAGAUUCAAACGCUGGAUCGGGUUUCACAAUCCAUCCAUCUCCAUCCAUCGGUUUGCCGUUCUUCUUCAUCUCUUUCUAAGUAUUAUAUCCUGAACAUUUUAUUUAUUUGCGUUCGAAUUUUAUAUGCUGCUCUACUUUCAUCUGAAUUUGCAGUUUUGUGGAGCGUGGCUUUUCAUGAUGCUGCUCACUGACCGGAAUUAUCGCCACGAACGAACACGAAAAUAGCGUUACAACGGGACCUCUCUCGAGACUACAUAGGCUGGUCCUCUCCCUAUUCCCUAUCGGUAUCUCUUUCUCUCUCUUCCGAGCAAUUGGUUUUUGUUUCUCUUGUCAAUUUGUGACGCGUGUAUCAUUUGAUGCGCUAAUUUACUAUUAAGCGCAUGCUUUGAUUUAAAUUCAUGACAUUGGAGUCUGUAUUUUUUCCUCAAAGUAUGAUUCUGAUGGGAACUUCUCAGCUGAUAGUUUCUCUAGGUACAUCUAGAAUGCCAUUGUUGUUAUUAUUUUCUAAUUAAUGUAAUUUCGGUCAUAUUUUCUUUCUACAAUUCAAAUCCGAUUCGGUUUCUUUUUGCUGUUAUUAUGAUUAUUUUGUAUUGUUCAUAGCGUAAUGAAUUAAUUGUAGAAUUGGUUGGACUUGGGUUGUCUGUAAUAUCAAAAUUGGCAAAUAUAGCAAGCCUAUCGCUUUUGAUUUCUUGUACUUUUUAUAUUUUUAGUAAAGCCUACUAUUCGUUUAUGCAAUUUGUCUGGUGUAGAAUACUAAUUUUGACUCGAAUUUUGGACCUCGAUCUGAAUGCCCACUAAUGUAUAUUAAUUAAAUACGAUUAAUUGCAACAUUUCUUGUACUUUUUCCCUUCUUGUGGCUUAGUUAUUGAAGGCCUUACUUGCUGGAUAAUUACUGUUCGAUUUGGUUGGAUGUUAUCUCACUAACAUGGUUAUAGGGUUGAAAUUUUAUAAAUUAAGUAGCAGAAUUUUAUUAAAAAUGUAGUUUAAUUUGAUGGUCAAUUACAGUAGCUGUUUGCGCGACAGGCUUUCAUACACUUCUUUGUGCAUUAAUGCUUGAUAUUUCCUUAUUUUGGCGAAGUUUACUGUGCAGAUAUGGAGGGUGACGUUUUUGUGCAGUGAUCUCGGUUUUCUCAUUCAAGUAAUAAUUGUUGGUGGGACGUUUGAAGAAAAUACUACAUAAGGGGUUAUAAUUUUUCAUACCCAUCUACGCCGUUAAUGUGUUGUUGUUGUGACUCUAAGUCAUUACAGUCUUGGGUUCUUUUAUACAUUGGAAAUGUAACUGCAGCUUCUAAGAAUAUUUCAAAUUAAAUGCAAUAGUUUAAAAGCUAGAAUUCUUAUAGCAUUUAGCUUCUAUGUAUAUAUAGGAUGCAUAGCUAUGAGAUUUCAAGGGUAAUUUGUACAAUUAUACUUCCAUGAGAUUUUAAAUGCAAUUGUGCUUUUUGAAUGUUUUGUAGUCACAUUUUCCAUGGUACCUUUUUCAAGUAGUAUAAUUUAUUAUUUUACUGAAAGCUACAGAAUAUAGAGUUUCUAUCUAAUUAAUGUUCAAGGAAGAAGGAAAAUCAUGUUAAGAAAAGUGAAAUUAUGUAUUGAUUUGAAACUAUUAAAUUAGUCAGGAUAGAAUAUAGCUACUGAUAGAUGCAAGCUUAGCUACUUGCGAGUUAGUUCAAGUUAACAGAUCUAGAAAUUGUGUUGAAUUUAAUUCUUUUUCUUCUGUUUUUGUAAUUCUGCGCGAUUGAUAAUUGUUUGUUCUACUUCAAUAUAUUAGUAAGAUCUGACUUUUUUUAUCUGAAUAAAGAAUAUUAAUCCGUGUGUUAAUUAAUUUUACAUUUUAGGAGUUGCUUUUUAUUUUUGUCAUUGCCCGUAAGAAAGUAGCAAAUCCUAUAUGUAGUGCAAAUGUUUGUUCACCAAUUAAUAAGGUAACAAAUAUUUUCCUCUACUAGUUUUGUGUGCCGUCAAUUUACUUGAAUUGAACUUUGUUCUGUCAAAGGGAGAUAAGUCCAUGCAAUAAGACACACAAAUCCUAUCCACCCAAAAAUACAUUUGAGUUCUUAUGGUUUAUUUUUUUCCCUGAUCUAUUUGACAGUUGUGAUUAAUAUUCUAUGAGAUUUGGAUGCUUUGGGUAGUUCUCCUUUUGCAUCUUCUGAAGCUGAGCAUUAUUCAACACAAACAUAGAGGUGCUGCACAUGAGUGGACUGAAUAGAAACAUUUACCGUGGGUGGGGUGUUGCUGCACUGUUUGAUGGACCGAAGUUGAAAGGCAAUUCAGAAGGGAGAUGGAAUGGUCGGUCAUUGAUCAGCUUAGCAGAAGCCGCGAAAGCGCAGGAUGGACCUUGUUUGUUCUCUAGACACAGUUCAAGUAUCAUAUAUUGUUGAAAAUCAUAAGAACUAUAUAGAAAAAUAGUAGAAACUGAGGCUGGAUAUUAGAUAGCAUGUAUUGCAAUGUUUUCAUUCUUCUAUGGAGGUUAGUAUCAUACCAUUAGAGAGCACGCAUAUGAAGGCUUUUUGCUUUCCAGUUUUCAGAAUGUCUGUCUGCAUACUCUCUGGCAGAAUAUACAAUUUGAUUCUUUUA